rnacentral:rRNA from 1 species
AACGCGAAGAACCUUACCAAGGUUUGACAUCACCCGAAAACUCGCAGAGAUGCGGGGUCCCUUGUGGGCGGGUGACAGGUGGUGCAUGGCUGUCGUCAGCUCGUGUCGUGAGAUGUUGGGUUAAGUCCCGCAACGAGCGCAACCCUCGUUCCAUGUUGCCAGCAACCUCUUCGGAGGGUUGGGGACUCAUGGGAGACUGCCGGGGUCAACUCGGAGGAAGGUGGGGAUGACGUCAAGUCAUCAUGCCCCUUAUGUCUUGGGCUGCAAACAUGCUACAAUGGCCGGUACAGAGGGCUGCGAUACCGUGAGGUGGAGCGAAUCCCUAAAAGCCGGUCUCAGUUCGGAUCGAAGUCUGCAACUCGACUUCGUGAAGUCGGAGUCGCUAGUAAUCGCAGAUCAGCAACGCUGCGGUGAAUACGUUCCCGGGCCUUGUACACACCGACGCGUA